AGUGAACGCUGGCGGUAGGCCUAACACAUGCAAGUCGAACGGCAGCACAGUAAUAGCUUGCUCUUACGGGUGGCGAGUGGCGGACGGGUGAGGAAUACAUCGGAAUCUACUUUUUCGUGGGGGAGAACGUAGGGAAACUUACGCUAAUACCGCAUACGACCUACGGGUGAAAGCAUGGGAUCUUCGGACCUUGCGCGAUUGAAUGAGCCGAUGUCGGAUUAGCUAGUUGGCGGGGUAAAGGCCCACCAAGGCGACGAUCCGUAGCUGGUCUGAGAGGAUGAUCAGCCACACUGGAACUGAGACACGGUCCAGACUCCUACGGGAGGCAGCAGUGGGGAAUAUUGGACAAUGGGCGCAAGCCUGAUCCAGCCAUACCGCGUGGGUGAAGAAGGUCUUCGGGUUGUAAAGCCCUUUUGUUGGGAAAGAAAAGCAGCAGGUUAAUACCCCGCUGUUCUGACGGUACCAAAAGAAUAAGCACCGGCUAACUUCGUG
rnacentral:rRNA from 1 species